CUAGUUGUAAACGAUGGAUACUAGGCGUUGAGAGUAUCGACCCUCUCAGUGUCGUAGCUAACGCGUUAAGUAUCCCGCCUGGGGAGUACGCGCGCAAGCGUGAAACUCAAAGGAAUUGACGGGGGCCCGCACAAGCGGUGGAGUAUGUGGUUUAAUUCGAUGCAACGCGAAGAACCUUACCAGGGCUUGACAUGUCCGGAACCCUGCCCAAAGGCGGGGGUGCCUACGGGAACCGGAACACAGGUGGUGC
rnacentral:rRNA from 1 species